UGAAACUUACCGUUGUAUGUAAAAAAUCGAUUUAAAAGUUAAUAGAUUGGAAAUUAUACAUAAUAUUGAAUUUUACUCUUACAAAUUUACCAAUUUUUAAAUCGAUUUUUUACAUACAAUGGUAAGUUUCA